CGCGUAGGUGGUUGCGUAAGUCAGAUGUGAAAUCCUGAGGCUCAACCUCAGAACUGCAUCUGAUACUGCAUGACUAGAGUGCAGCAGAGGGAAACGGAAUUCCCGGUGUAGAGGUGAAAUUCGUAGAUAUCGGGAGGAACACCGGUGGCGAAGGCGGUUUCCUGGGCUGACACUGACACUGAGGCGCGAAAGCGUGGGUAGCAAACAGGAUUAGAUACCCUGGUAGUCCACGCUGUAAACGGUGAAUACUGGGUGUGGGAGGUGUAAUGCCUUCUGUGCCGAAGCUAACGCGUUAAGUAUUCCGCCUGGGGAGUACGGCCGCAAGGUUGAA
rnacentral:rRNA from 1 species